rnacentral:rRNA from 1 species
AUUGAACGCUGGCGGAAUGCUUUACACAUGCAAGUCGAACGGCAGCACGGACUUCGGUCUGGUGGCGAGUGGCGAACGGGUGAGUAAUGUAUCGGAACGUGCCUAGUCGUGGGGGAUAACGUAGUGAAAAUUACGCUAAUACCGCAUACGAUCUAUGGAUGAAAGCGGGGGAUCGCAAGACCUCGCGCGAUUGGAGCGGCCGAUAUCAGAUUAGGUAGUUGGUGGGUAAAGGCCCACCAAGCCAACGAUCUGUAGCUGGUCUGAGAGGACGACCAGCCACACUGGAACUGAGACACGGUCCAGACUCCUACGGGAGGCAGCAGUGGGGAAUUUUGGACAAUGGGCGAAAGCCUGAUCCAGCCAUUCCGCGUGCAGGAUGAAGGCCCUCGGGUUGUAAACUGCUUUUGUACAGAACGAAAAGGUUUCUACUAAUACUAGGAGCUCAUGACGGUACUGUAAGAAUAAGCACCGGCUAACUACGUGCCAGCCGCCGCGGUAA